rnacentral:rRNA from 1 species
UACGAAGGGGGCUAGCGUUGUUCGGAAUUACUGGGCGUAAAGCGCACGUAGGCGGACUAUUAAGUCAGGGGUGAAAUCCCGGGGCUCAACCCCGGAACUGCCUUUGAUACUGGUAGUCUCGAGUCCGGAAGAGGUGAGUGGAAUUCCGAGUGUAGAGGUGAAAUUCGUAGAUAUUCGGAGGAACACCAGUGGCGAAGGCGGCUCACUGGUCCGGUACUGACGCUGAGGUGCGAAAAGCGUGGGGGAGCAAACAGG